GGGUGAUUAGCUCAGCUGGGAGAGCACCU
rnacentral:piRNA from 2 species